UUGGAGUUCCUGUCGUGGCUCAGUGCUUAACGAAUCCAACUAGGAACCAUGAGGUUGCGGGUUCGAUCCCUGGCCUUGCUCAGUGGGCUAAGGAUUGGCGUUGCCAUGAGCUGUGGUGUAGGUCACAGAAGCAGCUUGGAUCCUGCGUUGCUCUGGCUCUGGUGUAGGCCGGCGGCUACAGCUCUGAUUUGACUCCUUGCCUGGGAACCUCCAUAUGCCGUGGGAGUGGUCCAAGAAAUGGCAAAAAGACAAAAAACAAACAAACAAAAAAAGCAUUCUUGGACAAAUAAAAAUUAACUAAAAUAAAUUUCUUGUGAACAAGAUAAAUCAUAUUAAUAAUCCAGGUGUUUAUUUGUUUAUAUUGUAGGACAAGGUGAAAUUCCUAGGUUUUACGACAUUGCAUUUGCAUAUUCCACAUUUAAAAUAAAAGUAGACAUCUCCUAAAUAAAACAGUUUGAAUUUUAGAGUAUUGCCACCAAGUAAGAUCAUUCCACAUCUUUCUAUCAGCUUCAGCAAUCUAGACUCAAAACAGAGAAAAAUAAAAAAAAGGAGGAAACUUUUGAUGAAGAUUUAUUGUCAUAAGUGCUGCUCUCAAAUAUGCCUUCCCAGAAUUUUGAAAACUUUCUCUUCCGUUUAUGGAGUCUUUACAUGGUAUUGACUUACUUCUGUAAGUUUAGUCUCUUAAAUCCUCCCUUUCUCCAUGACCAAAUCUUCAUAUUCCUUUUUAUGCAUAUAAUUUCUGUAAACUCUAGAGGAGAAUGUUAUGUGUUAGACUUCCACCCAAGCAAAUGCCAUAGUCCAUGCCCAUACACUGAUUUGUAGAAGAUGACUCUUCCUCUGUCAGAUUCAUGAUGCUAUUUUUUUUUUUAUACACUAUCACCCCAUCACAGACACAGGAGCUUCGAAUUAGUUGGCCAGAGAUGUGAUUCAUGUGUAGGAACUUCAAGGAUGAAGCUGAGAAUUCAGCUAUCUUAAGAACUGAUCGAUUGCCGAGGGUAAGCUAAACUCCCUCAAAUCCCAGUAUUUAUAAAGAGUGGUAGCCUACAUCUUAUAAAUAUAUAAUUCUAUUAUAAUAACUGAAUUUUUAAAAAGGAAUAGCAUAUUGGAAGGAAAAGAUUUGAUAACAGAUAUACCUAGAUGCCAUGUCUUUCCCAUACAAUGUUCCUGUUAUUUAUUGCUGUAAAACAACAUACUCUAAAACUGUGACUAAAAACAAAAAUAAAUUAUUAUUUAUUAAGUUUCUAUAAGUUUUUUGGGCUGGGAUGAGCAGUUCUUACUUGAAGUCUGUCAUGCAAAUGUGAUUAGAUGACAACUGAGGUUAGAGGCAUUUUGAAGGUUCAACAGAGCUAGACACAAAGGCAGCUCACUCACCUGAUAUCACUUGAUGCUGACUACUUGCUUGGAGUUAGCUGAGGUAGUGGACCAGAAAACCUUCAAGUGACUUAAUUUUAUGGCUUCUCACACCAUAGUAGCUAGAGUCUAAGGAAGGGGGUAAGAUCUUAAAAGCAAGCAUUGCAAGAAACCCAAGAAGAAGCUGCUGAGCUUCUUAUGACUUAGCCUCAGAAGUCACUGAGUCAUAUUCUGUUGGCCAAAAGGGAAUCAUAGGACCAUCCCAAAUUCAAAGAAAAGAGACUACACAGGGCACAGAUACCAAGAGUUGUGGUACAUAGAGGAAAGGGAGAUAUUUUGGAGACUAGCUCCCUAAAAGUAUUUAAAAUAGACAAUUGUAGACUGGUGAAGGUUGCUCUGGACUGGAUGUUCGUGUCCUUCCAGAAUUUGUAUUCACUGAUUCAUAUGUUGAAUCACUAAUAUUUAGGGUUAGAAUUUGGUUAUAAGGAUGGGGCCUUCAUGAUGGGCUUACUUCCCUUAUUAAAAGAGGAAGAGAGAGAUAGGAGAGUUCUCUUUCUGUGCCAUGUGAUGACACAGCAAGAAGGCAGCCCGGUGUACACCAGGUAGAGAGUUUUCACCAGGUCCCAAAUUCAUGGGCAUCUUUAACUUGGAUUUCUAGCCUCCAGAACUGUGAGAAAUAAAUUUCUGUUGUUUAAACCCCCUAGUCUGUAUUAUUUUGCUCUAGCACCUGGAACAGACUAUGAUAUCCCACAUUGGAAUAAAUAGUGUACUCAUGUUACAGCUCUUUUGAAAUAUCUUUCAGUGAGUACUGGAAAUUAUUAAUUAACUUCAUUUUGAAGUAUUAAAAUUAUUUAGCCAAAUCUAUAUGUACCGAUAAUCACAAUUCAAAUACUUCAGAAUACCAGUUGUUAUCCAUAAAAUCCCUCUGUAGCUAUAGUUCCACUCCUCAGAGAUAGAAUUUUAAGGUUAUUUCUGAUCUUAAAUUUCUUUAAAUUUUGAUUGUUAUAUUUAUUUUAAUUUCCACAUUGGUAACAUUAAAAUCUUGAAAUGAAAUCUUUAACUGUCUUUCUUUUCCAACCUUUUUUGGCCUGUAGUGAAAAAGCAAUUGAUUUUUUCUUUGUUUUAUUUUCCUAAUGUAAGCUUUUAGUAUUGGUAUUUUUAACAAUUUUUGGAAUGAUAAUCUAAAAAUUCCAUGGGGAUAAGUAUGGCAUUUUCAGUUGUUUUACUUACCAUAAAGAAAACUUUGGCUCUGGUAAAGCUAUUGUCUACAUAUCUUUUAAUUAUUUAUCUAAUCAUUUUUUUUCCUUUUUCACCAAUUGGAUUGGUCCUCUCUCUCUUUUUUUUUGUUUUUAUAUAUUUCAUAUCUUUUUUUCUGGAUGAUAAAUUAUCUAUUUUAUUAUCUAGAGGCUUUUUAUCAGUUUAAUAUAUUUUAAUCUUAUCGAUAAUUCUCAUAAUUUAUAAUAUCUUUUUGCUGAUUUAUUCAUUUAUUCAUAUCUUUUUUUGAGGAUGCAAUACCUUCUUGAAUCUAAAUAUAAAAUUUAGAAUGAUUUUUGUUAUUGGUUUACAUCUGUUCCUUGAUUUGUUUCCUCUGUGUCAGUUUAUCUGCAAAAUUAUUCUUAAUAUUUUUCUGUGAUGUGUAUGCUUUUCUCUUAUAUCUGCUAUCCUUUAUUGUGUGUUCUUUUAUAAUAAUAUACCUAGUGUGGGUUUCCUUUGGCACUGUGCAGGUAGAUCUGUUUCUAAAGUUCUAUUUAAAAGUGGAAAGUCUUCCUGGGGAGAAGCUUCAUCAAAGUGGGGAAAACUUAUUCUCUGCAGAUGAGUUUUAUCUUUUAAAUGAAAAUUACUUGCUUUUAUUUGAUUUGUUAUUCAGUCUGGGGUUAAAUACUGGGCGGCCUGUGCUCCACAAGCCUGGAUAGGAAAUCCAACUUACCAGUAAAUUUCCUGUUUUUCUAUGCAAAUUUUUCCGUGUGUGUGUGUGUGUGUGUGUGUGUGUGUGUGUGUGUGUGUGUGUGUAAUUUUUAAAGUUCUUUGAGGGAUUUUCCCCUUGUGAUGCAGUGUGUUGCAAACCCAACUAUUAUCCAUGAGGAUGUGGUUCCAUCCCUGGCCUUCCUUGUUCAUGGGGUUAAGUAUCCUGCAUUGCUGCAAGCUGCAGUAUAGGUCAUAGGUGGAGCUUGGAUCCCACGUUGCUGUGACUGAGGCUAUGCUUUAGGCUGGCAGCUGCAGCUCUGAUUUGACUCCUAGCCUGGGAACUUCUAUAUACUGCAGGUGC
rnacentral:lncRNA from 1 species